rnacentral:rRNA from 1 species
AGCCGCGGGUAAUACGUAGGGGGCAAGCGUUAUCCGGAUUUACUGGGUGUAAAGGGAGCGUAGACGGCACGGCAAGCCAGAUGUGAAAGCCCGGGGCUCAACCCCGGGACUGCAUUUGGAACUGCUGAGCUAGAGUGUCGGAGAGGCAAGUGGAAUUCCUAGUGUAGCGGUGAAAUGCGUAGAUAUUAGGAGGAACACCAGUGGCGAAGGCGGCUUGCUGGACGAUGACUGACGUUGAGGCUCGAAAGCGUGGGGAGCAA